rnacentral:rRNA from 1 species
GUUCCUGGCUCAGAUUGAACGCUGGCGGCAUGCUUUACACAUGCAAGUCGAACGGCAGCAUAGAGAGCUUGCUCUCUGAUGGCGAGUGGCGAACGGGUGAGUAAUACAUCGGAACGUGUCCGUUUGUGGGGGGACAACCACCCGAAAGGGUGGCUAAUACCGCAUAAGACCUGAGGGUGAAAGCCGGGGACCGCAAGGCCUGGCGCGAACGGAGCGGCCGAUGACUGAUUAGCUGGUUGGCGGGG